AGAACAUUAGCUGCCUUCACGUCUCUGUGGAUUAUUUUGGAUCACAUUGCUCAUGUAAAUAAAGAAGUCCCCUCGCAGCUCCAAUUGCAAUCCUCUUCCUCGUAUUCCAGUCUAGAGCUGGUUUUCCUGCCAAACCCAACUCAUUUACAAGACAUUGCCAAAACCUCCGGUGCCUAGAAUGUUCUUGGAGCUGAAGUUAUCUGUAGCAAGCUGGAGUUCCCUGAAAGUGAAGUUUCUCAGGUUACCUAGGCUUAUGAGGCCUUCUUCUUGUUUGUCUGCAAUAUACGUGUGACAACAUUAAAUCGUAUUAAAUAAACAUAUAAAAGAAAACUUUCGACAUUUA